rnacentral:lncRNA from 10 species
GAUUAUAACCCUCCACUGAUGUCCCCUCAAAGAUCCCCUACUCAACCAUAUAUGGGGCCUUCUAUGCAAUUUCAAGAGUCAAGACAAAAUAUUCCAAAUAAACUAAAUGAAUAUCAGAUUUAUUAGCAGACACCAUCCAACUUGAUGCCUCACUAUGGACAUCUGUCAAGUCACUUACACAAAUGAACUGUGCCAUGAUGGAUCAAGUGUGCCACGCACGGUCACAUGCUGGCAGAGGCCGGACUGCAAAGUCCACACGCACGUGAAGGCUCGGUUAACUACCCCCUGGAAGAGAACUUAGGAGAGAUCAUCAAGGUUCAACCAUUUUCAGCAUUAGUAAUCUGUUUCAAGACACAAAGCCCAAAGGAGUGAAAACAAGCCAAUAUGGCGGAUGAUGAUGAAUACUGAUGAUUAUCGUGGAUGGGUCUGGAGCACCACAUUAGAAGGCAAAGCAUGACUUUGUGACUAAAGACCAUCUACACCAAAGGUUGGAGGUUCAACAAUACUUUAGAAACAAAACAUUGCAAACAACAGGCUAUGAGGGACAUGCAACCAUUUGUGAAGUGACCAUCCAGCCCCUUCUACCCAUAUCACCAGGAGAAAGGAUGGGAACAUCCAAACUUGGAUCAAGCAGGAACACAAGUUCCAUUGUUGGAUUCUUCAACAAGUUCUGUGGACCCACACAAGUAACAACAAUGCCUAAACAUAUGGACUCUGCUCAAACACGGAGGCCUUGGGAUUUUCAUGAUCUGGACACAUUUGAGUCUGUGAAUCGCAUAACCAUCUGGACUAGUUAAAAGUGGCAAAAAAGAAAAACACCCUCUCAAACCCAACUGCACUUGUUUAAUAUCAGGAAAACAAAUAUAAGUAGAAGUGGAUACUAAGGUUCCAGAAUUAAGGGGGCUUUUUUGUUUUGUUUUGGGAAGUUUUUUCUUGCUUUUUUUUUUAGCAAAAAUGGGGCCAUCUUUGAGAUUGGCCAAGCAACCAAUCAUCACCAAUAUUCGGAGAACAGGAAGAGAAGGCCUCUGAUCUCUGGUUCUCUUCGAAUACACACCCACAAAAAAAUCCAAUGGUAACACAUAUGUUGUGAAGUGACUACAUCUUUUGUGUUAAUUCCAGUUUGUCUCCCUCCCUUCUGCCUGAAAGCCUUACCAACACUUAACUGAGUCCCUAUUAAAUGCUACUUAAUAGGAUAUAUUUAGUGGAAUAUAUUAUCUACUUCUCUGCAGAUGCAGAGAAGUAGAAGAUAUGACUGUUGAUUUUAAGGGGUGAAAACUCAGUUUGGGUGAUGAGACAAAAAAAUAUAUCAAGCUAAGGGCCAACUCAGUGACAAGUGGCUUGCAAAUCUAGGAGGAGGAGUCAAAAAGGAAUGGCCUUUCAGAGGAACAAGUCUUUUUUCAAUAUAUAAUUUCACCUUUUAUUUUAGAUUCAGGGAGUAGAUGUACAUGUUUGUUACAUGGGUAUAUUGCAUGAUGCUGAGGUUUGGGAUAUGAAUGAUCCCAUCAUCUAGGUACUGAGUAUAGUACCCAAUAGUUAGGAACAAGUCUUUAACCAAGAAAGAAGGCAGACAGAGGGAGAGUCCCAGGCAAAAAGGAGGGAGUGAGUGAAGCUUCAGACCUACUUGUACACAGGCUGUGUUCAAAGAACAAAGCAGAGAGCAAUUUGGCUACAGAAGAAAAGGAAGAAAGCUGGAGGAGAUGGUAGAAAGCCAGGCUCUGGUGGGCCUUGAAGGCUAACCUAAAUAUUUUGAAAUAUAUUAAAUAAGAGUGUCCACAAAGGAUUUUGUUAGAGGAAGGAGGCAGAGAGAGAGAGAUGUAAAGCCCACACCCGAACUUAUCAAUAGUGUGAGAUGCACAAGAGUAGUAUUAAGAAAGGCUGGUGCCAAGGAGACCAGUGAAGAACACUUCAAGGCUGGCAGGAGGUUGAAAGUGUCUAGACCGGGCAGAGGCAACAGUAGGGAGAACAAAAUUCAGAAAGCGCUUUACAGGAGUCAGACUAACUUUGAAUUCCAAUCCUAGCACCAAACUAGUUGUGGGAUGGCAGGCAAGCUGUCUUACUUGCCUUAAGAACAAGUUCAGCUUCCAGCUGAACUACUUGCUAGGGGUCAUUGUGUACAAGCUUGCUAGGGGUCAUUGUGUACAAGCUGUUUACUCUCCAUGUGUUUCAAUUUUCCCAUCAAUAAAACAGGGAUAAGAACAGUAUUUGCCACAUCACAGGGGUUUUGAGGAUUAAAUGGGUAAGUAUUAUAACGUCACCUUUUCUUUUUCAGAAAUGUUUAAUUUUUUUAAGAGACAGAGUCUUGCUCUGUUGCCCAGGAUGGAGUGCAAUGGUGCUACCAUAGCUCACUGUGGCCUCAAACUCCUAGGCUCAAAUGAUCCUCCCACUUAAGUCUCCCAAGUCACUUGGAUUACAGGAAUGUGCCACCAUGCCAGGCUUAAAGCCACCUUUUGUAUCUAUACUAAUGGCCAGGUGACAUUUCAAUGAGUUUUGAAGAAACCAAAAGAGACCAAGCAUAUCUGUUUUACAAACUGCUAUAGCUUAUAUGACAGUGCAAGAGAAUUUUACUAUUUAGAGAAAUCCAAUGGCUUCCCAAAGACACUUAGAGUAAAAUUCAAACUCCUUGCCAUGGGCUACAAGUCCCUAUAUCAUCUGGGUGCUGGCUCCUUCUCCAAACUCCCUCCUAAGAGAGCAGCUGCCACCCACUAAGCUCCAGAAACACUGCACUGCCUGGUCCUCAGUUCUUUCUCUGGGCCACUCAUUGCACUUGCUGUUCUUGCCUGGGCCACUCUCCCUUCUAUCCCUACUUUACGCAGGUUUCUGCUCAAUGUUCACUCCUCAGGGAGUCCUCCCAGGUCAGCUUAGCUAAAAGGACCUCCAUGUGCCCUCCUUGUCUCUUGCCCAUUCUCUUCCUUUAUAUCUCAUCAGAGAUACAAAGUCACUCAUCACUGACUAAUGUACUGGAUUUAUUUGUCCAUUCACUAUUUCUCUCCGUUCUAGAAUAGACAGUCCAUUUGUCUAGUUCAAUGCUGUUUCCUUGGAAGAGUAUCUGGCCCACAGGAGCUGCUCAGUAUGUUUCUGUUGAAUGCAUAAGUGAAUGAGUGAGCCAGAAACAUCCAAAUUCAUAGCCCAGCUCUACCACUUACAAGCUGGGUAUCAUCAGGUAGAGAAGAAACUAAGCACAAAGGAGAAGGAAGAUCAGACCAUGACAGCUGAAGAUAAAAUUUGAGGCAUAAUUUUCAGAAGG